CGGUCGGCAGACACCGAGGCGUCGCUGCUCCUGUUGGAGAGCUAAACCUGCCA
rfam:Loktanella sp. 1ANDIMAR09 PM06_002, whole genome shotgun sequence.